UACGUAGGGCGCAAGCGUUGUCCGGAAUUACUGGGCGUAAAGAGCUCGUAGGUGGUUUGUCGCGUUGUCCGUGAAAACUCACAACUCAAUUGUGGGCGUGCGGGCGAUACGGGCAGACUGGAGUACUGCAGGGGAGACUGGAAUUCCUGGUGUAGCAGUGAAAUGCGUAGAUAUCAGGAGGAACACCGAUGGCGAAGGCAGGUCUCUGGGCUGACACUGACGCUCAUGCACGAAAGCGUGGGGAGCAAACAGG
rnacentral:rRNA from 1 species